rnacentral:tRNA from 1 species
GGGGAUGUAGCUCAGUGUUAAGAGCACUUGCCAGGCAUGCAUGAGGCCCUGGGUUCAAUCCCCACAACCACA